UCUUAUGGAUGAGCGAAGAAAGGAGUUUUUUGAGAUGGAAUCUACUCCUGGUGUAGGUGCUGUGAA
rnacentral:pre_miRNA from 1 species